CGAACCGAAACCGCCACUCCUGAUGUCACUCUUCUAGUCGGCGGCGGCGGCGGCGGCACAAGACGUCCCGGCAGACACGCCUACCACCACGCGCCGUUUCUAUACAGGUAUCCCCGCGGACAGCAACAUUAUCGGUAAAAACAAUUCAAGGGCAUACAAGAAUAAGAUAUGUGUAUGAAAACGAUGUAUUUUUAAUUAGUACACUGCAGAUUACAAUGAUACUACAUUUUUAUCAAGACUCACCAGUUGCAGCAGAAGUAUUUUAUAAAACUUACACUUGAACUGUAAAAUGAGUUGUAACAUUUGUAACAUGUCACUUGUCAAUAUAUAUACAUCAGAUAUUAGCAGUGAACUAAAGUAAUAGAGUAAGUGUACUAGACAUAUAGAAGUUUGUGCGGGGGCAGCAGAAACAGCAUAUGCUUUGACUUUCUUUAGGGCUUCCGCAGAGGCUGGAAAAUAUUGAAUAAUAUUUUAUUUAUAAUUUUAAUUAUGUACCCAUUAGUUUUUUUUUUUUUAAUAGACAUCUUUAGUUUUUUAAGUACCUACAAAUACAGUCGAUUCAAAGUACCUAAAAUUAUUUUUAAAAUAUAUAUUUUAUA